GACGAACGCUGGCGGCGUGCCUAAUACAUGCAAGUCGAACGCAGUGGGGACGGGUGAGUAACACGUGGGUAACCUCCCAUCAGAGUGGAGAACACUUGGAAACAAGUGCUAAAAGCGACACUGAUGGAUCGACUAGGGGUGCAUUAGCUAGGUGGUGAGGUAACGGCUCACCAAGGCCACGAUGCAUAGCCGGCCUGAGAGGGUGAUCGGCCACACUGGGACUGAGACACGGCCCAGACUCCUACGGGAGGCAGCAGUAGGGAAUCUGCGGCAAUGGACGAAAGUCUGACCGAGCAACGCCGCGUGAGUGAAGAAGGUUUUCGGAUCGUAAAACUCUGUUGUUAGAGAAGCGGUAUCUAACCAGAAAGCCACGGCUAACUACGUGCCAGCAGCCGCGGUAAUUC
rnacentral:rRNA from 1 species